rnacentral:rRNA from 1 species
AGAGUUUGAUCAUGGCUCAGAACGAACGCUGGUGGCGUGCUUAACACAUGCAAGUCGAACGAGAAAGUUUCCUUCGGGAAAUUAGUAAAGUGGCGCAAGGGUGAGUAUCACGUGAAUAAUCUGCCCUCGAGAUCGGGAUAACAUGGUGAAAACUAUGCUAAUACCGGGUAAGACCACAUUUCAUAAGAAAUGCGGUAAAAGGAGUCUCAAUCUUCACUUGAGGAUGAGUUCACGCAACAUUAGCUUGUUGGUGAGAUAAAAGCUCACCAAGGCUACGAUGUUUAGCCGGCCUGAGAGGGUGAACGGCCACACUGGAACUGAGACACGGUCCAGACUCCUACGGGAGGCAGCAGUGGGGAAUAUUGCGCAAUGGGCGAAAGCCUGACGCAGCAACGCCGUGUGAGCGAUGAAGGCUUUAGGGUAGUAAAGCUCUGUCAAAUGGGAAGAA